AACGGCCGUACCAUGCUGAAUAUACCGGUUCUCGUUAGAUUACCGAAGUCAAGCAUCAUUGGUCGCGGUCAGUACUUGGGUGGGUGACCACCUGGGAACACCGCGUGCCGUU
rnacentral:rRNA from 1 species